rnacentral:rRNA from 1 species
UGUGCGCACUAUUGGAUGUGCGUCUAAGCACUUAGACAUGCUUGAUAGGCAAAUCCGUCAAGCUUAGUUGAGGUGUUAUGGGGAGCUAAUUUUAGCGAAGUAUCUGAUUCCACACUGCCAAGAAAAGCCUCUAUCGAGUAAAUUGGUGCCCGUACCGCAAACCGACACAGGUAGGUGAGGAGAGAAUCCUAAGACCAUCGGAAGAAUUGCUGUUAAGGAACUAGGCAAAUUAACCCCGUAACUUCGGGAGAAGGGGUGCCUACGAAAGUAGGCCGCAGUGAAUAGGCCCAAGCAACU